UAAAGUUAAAUACAUAGAAACAAACGUUGACAGUCACACAAAUACUUAGGUUAAGUUCUUUUAAACAGAUGGUACAGUAUGAAAGAAGCUUCUUGGCAGUUUCAGUUGCAGAGAAUAGAUUAGAACUGGCUUGUGGGGGGAUUUAUAUCCAGUCUUUGAGAAUCCAAAUCUCAUCUCUUAAUUGCUUUAAAUUGAUUAUUUAAAAUAAUCUUCUUUAAUUGAAACUCUUCCGAAGGCUGGAAUUUUUUUAAUUAUAGCCUU
rnacentral:lncRNA from 1 species